rnacentral:rRNA from 1 species
UACGUAGGGGGCUAGCGUUGUCCAGAAUCAUUGGGCGUAAAGCGCACGUAGGCGGAUUGCUAAGUCAGGGGUGAAAUCCUGGAGCUCAACUCCAGAACUGCCUUUGAUACUGGCGAUCUUGAGUCCGGGAGAGGUGAGUGGAACUGCGAGUGUAGAGGUGAAAUUCGUAGAUAUUCGCAAGAACACCAGUGGCGAAGGCGGCUCACUGGUCCAUUACUGACGCUGAGGUGCGAAAGCGUGGGGAGCAACAGGGAUUAAGAAACCCCU